AACGAACGCUGGCGGCAGGCCUAACACAUGCAAGUCGAGCGAGGUAGCAAUACCUAGCGGCGGACGGGUUAGUAACGCGUGGGAACGUGCCCAAAGGUACGGAAUAGCCUCGGGAAACUGAGAGUAAUACCGUAUGUGCCCUUCGGGGGAAAGAUUUAUCGCCUUUGGAUCGGCCCGCGUUGGAUUAGGUAGUUGGUGGGGUAAUGGCCUACCAAGCCGACGAUCCAUAGCUGGUUUGAGAGGAUGAUCAGCAACACUGGGACUGAGACACGGCCCAGACUCCUACGGGAGGCAGCAGUGGGGAAUCUUAGACAAUGGGGGAAACCCUGAUCUAGCCAUGCCGCGUGAGCGAUGAAGGCCUUAGGGUUGUAAAGCUCUUUUCAGCUGGGAAGAUAAUGACGGUACCAGCAGAAGAAGCCCCGGCUAACUCCGUG
rnacentral:rRNA from 1 species